UCCUCUUCCUCCUCCUCCCCUGAUGUAGACUGUGGUCUGUGUUGGAUGUUGCUGUUCAGUCUGUGUCCUGUGUCUGCUCUCCUCUCCUCUCUCCUCUCCUCCACCUGUGUCUACUCCUUCUGCAGAACAACAGCUCCAACUGAGACUCAGGUUCCUCUGAACAGGACGACCAGCAGGGGAAGUGACAGCAGAGAGCAGACUACAGUCAGAGGGGAAGGAGACCUGUGUUACGCCUCGUUGGAUAUCCGUCAGGGACAGAAGAGACCAAAGAAGAAGAAGACAACCAAGAACUCUGACUUCAGUACCUACUCAGCCAUCAAUAGCAGCAGAGUGUGAGACAUAUACAAGCUAUCAAUACCAGCAGUGUGAGAUCUAUACCAGCCAUCAACACCAGCAGAGUGAUACCUAUACAAGUCAUCAAUACCAGCAGAGUGAGACCUAUACCAGCUAUCAAUACAUUUACAUUUACAUUUAAGUCAUUUAGCAGACGCUCUUAUCCAGAGCGACUUACAAAUUGGAUACCAGCAGAGUGAGACCUAUACCAGCCAUCAAUACCAGCAGAGUGAGACCUAUACCAGCCAUCAAUACCAGCAGAGUGAGACCUAUACCAGCCAUCAAUACCAUCAGAGUGAGACCUAUACCAGUCAUCAACACCAUCAAAGUGUGAGACCUUUUCCAUCCAUCAAUACCAGCAGAGUGAGACCUAUACCAGACCAUCAAUACCAUCAGAGUGAGACCUAUACCAGCCAUCAAUACCAUCAAAGUGUGAGACCUAUACCAGCAAUCAAUACUAGCAGAGUGAGACAUAUACCAGUCAUCAAUAGCAUCAGAGUGAGACCUAUACCAGCCAUCAAUACCAGCAGAGUGAGACCUAUACCAGCAAUCAAUACCAGCAGAGUGAGACAUAUACCACCCAUCAAUACCAGCAGUGUGAGACCUAUACCAGCCAUCAAUACCAGCAGAGUGAGACCUAUACCAGCCGUCAAUACCAGCAGAGUGAGACCUAUACCAUUAUUGAUCAGGGAGGACAAGGUCUUACAGCUGUGAUCGUAUCAGUUAUUAAACCAAUACCAUUAUUGAUCAGGGAGGACAAGGUCUUACAGCUGUGAUCGUAUCAGUUAUUAAACCAAUACCAUUAUUGAUCAGGGAGGACAAGGUCUUACAGCUGUGAUCGUAUCAGUUAUUAAACCAAUACCAUUAUUGAUCAGGGAGGACAAGGUCUUACAGCUGUGAUCGUAUCAGUUAUUAAACCAAUACCAUUAUUGAUCAGGGAGGACAAGUUCUUACAGCUGUGAUCGUAUCAGUUGUUAUGUUUUUGUACUUGUAACUUUUAAACUUUUGUUUUCUUUCAUUCACGCAAUUUACCAUUUAAUAAUAAUAACAAUAGUUGUUUUAAAAUGUUGUUUUUCAGCUCAGGGAAUACAUUUCAAUAUCUUUUGAUAUAGUUUCAGUUUUGAAGUUUCAUUGUUGGUUUAUCAUUGUAAUUCAUGUUUGCAGUUUAUUGAUGUGUUUUAAA